rnacentral:rRNA from 1 species
GACGAAGGUGGCAAGCGUUGUUCGGAAUUACUGGGCAUAAAGCGCGCGUAGGCGGCUGUGUAAGUCAGGUGUGAAAGCCCUCGGCUCAACCGAGGAACUGCGCCUGAUACUGCACGGCUUGAGGUCCGGAGGGGAGAGUGGAAUUCCCGGUGGAGCGGUGAAAUGCGUAGAGAUCGGGAAGAACGCCGGCGGCGAAAGCGACUCUCUGGUCGGAAUCUGACGCUGAGGCGCGAAAGCCAGGGGAGCGAACGGG